rnacentral:lncRNA from 1 species
CUCUCUGCUAGGGUUUCUUCUUAACCCAUUUUGCGCUGCCGUUCGCCUAUGCCAACACUCCGAUCGCGACGGAGAUGGAAACCAUCCGACGAUUUCGCUGAAAAAAAGGUAAAAUCCCUUUCUUCCUUUCUUUUCUUCGUAUUUUUAAGCGGAAUAAGUAAAUAAAAAUAAAAAACGAAACUACGAAUGAAGAAUACCAAAUAAAAAAAUAACCUUCUGUAUUAAAAUUUUUUUAUCUCCUUCUAUUUGAACUCUCUGUGUUGCAAAAAUAAUAGCUUUCUUUUUUUUUCCCUCCUCCUUUACAAUGAAGUGAGAGGCCUCUAUUUAUAUUUGAGUCUCCCCAAAUCCAACGGUACAGAUCAAUUACAUGAACGGCUAAGAUUAAAUGGUAUCUACAAAUUAAAUCUCUAAGAUUACAAAAUCAUAUCUUCUAAGAUUGCUUAUCAUAUCCAAGAUUGCACAUAUCAUAUCUAAGAUUGCAUAUCAUAUCUAAGAUUGCAUAUAUCAUUACUAAGAUUGCAUAUCAUAUCUAAGAUUGCAUAUCCUCAAAAAUUAUGUUUCCAUAUGUGAGUCUGGGCUAAAAUUGGGUAUUACAGCUUCCCCUCUUUGCUCGUUGUUGUGUAACAGGAACGGAGCAAAGACUUUAAAAAUGCCCAAUUUUGCCCGGUCUUGCUGGAACAUGAAUCUCUUCUUCUUCAAGUAGCCUCAUUCCUUCCUACUGCAUCUUCAGAAGUAUAGGAGUUAGUGCUUCAAUCUAUUCCACUGCAACUGCAGGGAGAUUAGACUUACAAUCUUCAACCUAUUCCACUGCUGACCAGGGAGAUAGGAUUAUUGGCUUCAAUGUACUCCACUGUAACCACAGGGAGGUAAAAUCCACCAUCUUCGAUCUACUCCACUACUGCUUAGGGAGAUAAUAUCUGAAAUCUUCAAUCUAUUCCACUGUUGCCCAGGGAAGUAGAAUUACCGGCUUCAAUGUACUCCACUGUAACCACAGGGAGGUAAAAUCCGCCAUCUUCGAUCUGCUCCACUACUGCUUAGGGAGAUAAGAUCUGAAAUCUUCAAUCUAUUCCACUGUUGCCUAGGGAAGUAGAAUUACUGGCUUCAAUGUACUCCACUAUAACCACAGGGAGGUAAAAUCCACCAUCUUCGAUCUGCUCCAGUACUGCUUAGGGGGAUAAGAUCUGAAAUCUUCAAUCUAUUCCACUGUUGUCCAGAGAAGUAGAAUUACUGGCUUCAAUGUACUCCACUAUAACCACAGGGAAGUAAAAUCUGCCAUCUUCUAUCUGCUCCACUACUGCUUAGGGAGAUAAGAUCUGAAAUCUUCAAUCUAUUCCACUGUUGUCCAGGGAAGUAGAAUUACUGGCUUCGAUGUACUCCACUGUAACCACAUGUAGGUAAAAUCCGCCAUCUACGAUAUGCUCAGCUACUGCUUAGGGAGAUAAGAUCUGCUAUUUUUAACCUGCUCCACUGCAACCCAAGAAGGCAAGGCCGGUGUCUUCGAUCUGCUUCGCUGUCGGUGUAGGAAGGCAAGAUCAGCUAUUUUCACUGAUCUGUUCUUUGGGGAACAUGACCUGUAUAAUGAAUCUAACUAUGCCUAAUGAUUAGGAUGGCAUAAUCAAAAUGCAUCAAAUGCUCCUAACUAGACAUGUGUGAAUGGUGUUUACAUGAAUGCAAAAUUUUAAUUUUCUGAGAAUGAUCCCAUUUAGGUUGUCAUUACUCGAAGUUUAUUAAGGCUUUGUGACUGACGUGCUACAACGCCUUCUUGCUUGACUGGCUUUUCUGAAGAAACAUUUAGCCAAGUUGCCCUCAAAGUUUAAUCCAUCAGGGUGCAAAAAUUCAUACCAUCGUUCUCCCACUGUAACCCAAGGGUAUAUGGCUUCUUCAAUCCUCUCCUAUCACAAUUCAAGGAUACAGGAUCUAAAUUUUCCUGGUCUCUUACACCAUUGCCAGGGUAUCGUACCAAAGGCUCAUGCGCAAAUGAAGGCUCUCUUCUUUGAGAUUACCUCCUCCUAUUGUCUGGUGAUCAUUACUUGUUUAUUCAUUUAAGCUUUGUCACCAAAUUGACAUCUUGUUAUGUUGUUCAAUCAAUGUUUUUGACAACAAAAUCCAAAGAGAAAGUCUUAAUUUAGACUCUUCCUUAUCAGAUUUCCAGCCUUUAAACUUGGUGCUUUCUAAACAAUAGUCAUGUUUCAGGUUCCUGUAUUAUUUAGAAACUUCUAGAGUAAUAUGCAAAACCUCCCUUGUGAAAGUUUUAUUAGUCCAUUAAUCAUUAUUCUAAUGCAGCAUGCUUGCAAAAAGGUCAUAACAAUAGAUAAGAAUAAAGUUAGUUCUGACCAUAGCUCGAAAUGAAUAAAUUAUCAAAAAUAGUAAAGAAGGAUAACAAAGAAAUUGGUUGGAAAUGUGUAUUUUGGAAAAGAAUGAAGUAUUCCAAGAACAACAAAAUAAAUUGGGUGCCCCAGAUAUCGCAGCUUGAGCUUCACUGUACAAACUUUCUGAAGACCAUUCUGAGUUUGACAUGUGUUUAGGAGAUCUACAGUGCUUUGUCGAUGCUCCAAGACGUUGCCUACCCUUUCUUGUUAAUUCAAGUAUAGCAAGAUCAUCAUAUGCCCCAAUCUAAUCAAAAUUUGAACUACUCUGAUCACCUCAUGCCCCAUUCUGAUCAAAUAUUUGAGCCGCCCUUUUCGGGUUUUCAACUCAAAUCCCUUUUGGUCUCAAGACGCCCUUUGCGGGUUUUCACCUUGGCCUCUCCUUUUUCUUUUCUUUUCUUUUUCUUUUUCUUUUUUUUAUCACUUUCAUUUUUAUUUUGAUUUUGACCCUUUUUUUUUUAAUCUGAACUCCUAGGAUUAGGCAAGUCCUUGUUAUCCCUUCUGAUCAAAAUCAACGUUUUUCCAAAUAAGGUCUUCCCCAUAUGGUUCUUCCCAGCUUGGGAUGAAGUUCUUUUUGUAUGGGAAUGAUCUUCUUCAAUACCGGUCCCUCUCAAAGAAUUCUCUAGGGCGGACACUUUUUUGUGAGCUCACAUCAUUUGCUUUUGGCACAUUUGACCAUGAUGAAUAACUUUGAACAUUCCUCUUUAAUCGGAAUUAGGUCAAAAACUCAGAGAGAAAGAAUCUUAUCUUCAAUAGGCAAAAUCGUAAUGGGCCCAAGAGAAAGGUAUUGCCCCGACAGUUUUUUUUGCGAUAUGACAUUAAUCGUGAUAGACUGCAAACUUUUGAUAUUAUGCUGUCAAAUAUGAUCCUUUUGGCGUUCCAUAUGAUUCUUCAAGAAUUUUCUAACUGUCGGCUUUGUAACAUUGGCAUAUAAAGCAGCUUCCACCUAUUGACGAUCCUAAAGAUGAAUCGAUGAUCGUCAGACUCUUUUGGCGAUAUCGACGACUUUCAUGCCCUACAUAAGGAGAAAUCAGGUAUCCCAAUGAUUUUUUUGUAGGGUAAGAUCCGUUUCUCAACUUGUUCUACCAUCCUUAGCAAGUUCGGAAAUAGGCUACAAUCUAUGUCAUCUUCAAAGUUAUGAGAUCCCUCUAAACACAUAUCUCGCUUACAAGGAGAUUCUCAGUCUGUAACAGUGUCACUCAUGUCAUUGAUAUCUAGGGACCUAUAGUAAGUACAAAAGAAUAUACAAAGAAUGUAUGAAUUUAAGAAUGAUUAUUUGUACAAUAUAAUUAUGAAUGUGGAAGAAAAUCCAAAAUGAUAGAAUAAUUAUUUAAAAAGAAUAAAAUAUAUUGGCUCAAAAAAAUGAAUGCAAAGAUGUAUUUUAUUAGAAUAAUGACGUUCAGACAUGAGCCUAUUUCGCAAAGGCAUUUUUAUCAUUUUUAGGCAAAAAACAACAAAAUUGUUCUGAAUAUUACUCUAAAUAAGCUCUAAAAAACUACAGAGAUCUCUUCCGCAGUUCAAUUACUUAGAACACUUCUAAGUUGAUAAGGGCGAAUAUCUUCAAGAACCCUUGUAAAUUGUCUUCAAAAAUGGCAUUGAUGUGAACGCCUCUCAAUAUUUCUUCAUACAUCCCAUUCACCCCCAUUGUCAAAUGUAAUUGGGUAGCGGAUUUUCUACACUGGAUGAAUCGCCAAAUUUGACAAUGCCCAUACUGAUAAGCCUUUCAACAAGUUUUUUAAAGAUAAUGUAAUUUUCUAUAGAAUGCCCCGUAAUUCCUGCAUGAUAAUCACAUUGUGCAUUUGUAUCAUACCAUUUGGGAUACGGGGGCUGUGGAGGCUUCACAUGUAAAGAAGAAACAACAUGCGCAUUGAAUAAGCUUUGAUACAACUCCUUGUACGACAUUGGAAUUGACGUGAACUGGAGCUUUUCAGUACUUGGCUUCACACUUAAUUCUUGUCUUGAUGAACCCUGUUGAUUAGCAAUCGAUUUGCCGUACGUAUUCACGCAGUUCACCUCAUUUUCCUUUUCUUUUGAGGCUUACCUUCUGUUAUUUCCUUCAGCAUCAAUCUUUUCGCUCCUUAUGGCACUUUCAAUCAUUUCACCAUUCAUGAUUAUGUCAGAAAAGCUUUUUGUUGCACUCCCUAACAUAUGUGUGAUGAACGGAGCUUUCAAUGUAUUUAUGAAUAACAUUGUCAUUUCUCUUUCUAGAAGAGAUGGUUGGACUUGGACAGCAACCUCUCUCCACCUCUGUGCGUACUACCUAAAACUUUCACUGGGCUUCUUUUCCAUGUUCUGUAGAGUGAUUCUAUCAGGUACCAUGUCAGUUACAUGAUUGUACUACUUUAUGAAUGCAUGUGCUAAAUCUCUCCAUGAAUUAAUCUUGGUACGACUCAGUUGGUUGUACCACUUGGAUGCUGGAAACAAUGUAUCAGCAGUUGGUCAUUAUUAACAUACCCAGUCAUCCGCCUACAAAACAUGGUAACAUGAGCUUCGGGGCUACUAGUUCCAUUGUAUUUCUCAAACUCAGGCAUUUUGAAUUUAUAAGGAAGUACUAAAUUCGGAACCAAGCUCAAUUCUUUAGCGUCAAUUCCAUGGUAGCCUUUAGUACUUUCCAUCGCUCUAAGUUUUUCCUCCAGCCAUUUAUACUUUUCUUCGAGCUGUUUUGGCAAUUCACCAUUCAUUUUCUCUUUUUUAACUGUUUCGUCGAAGUCAGGGAUAUCAGGAUUAACAAGGUCGUCUUCGGGGUUAGGGCCUGAUCUAGCUUGAAAAUUCAUUGGUGUUACAGUACCGACCUGAAACUGCUGAGGUUUAAUGGUGACAGAGGAUUUGUGUGGAUAUACCUCUACUUGGGUUUGCCCAUGCUGAGGGGUCAAGCCUGAUCCCUCAUUGUCUUCUUCUUCAACAUUGAGCACAGAGCCUUUUCCUUUAUUAGUUCCCUUGUUCAACCAUUGAGUUAACUGAGCCAUUAUACUCCCUUGAGAUUCCAUCAUUUUGUCUAUCAUCUUUUGCUGCUCAUUCAUUUGCUUUUGAAGCUGCUCCUGCAUUUCCUUUUGGGAUUGUUCUAGUCUUUCCAUCCUUUGAUCCAUAUCCUUAGUUUUCGAUCGAGUACCGUAGUGGUGUUUGGUAGGUUGGUUGGUUUCCAGAUUAACUGAGGAAUGAUUUAAAUUAAUUAGAAUCUUUUAGUGGACUUUAAUGCUAUGAUAUCAUGUAAUGCGAAUGCAUGAAAUGAAUGCAUAAAGAGACGUUGAUUCAGAUUCAAUUCCAUUUAGAGAACUUUAUUAGAAAAUAAAUCUCUUUACAUAAAAUGAAUAUUUAUACGGCCUUGCCCUCAUAGGCGAAGACAUUCGAUCCUCUUCUUCAUUCGAGCGUUAAGAUAAAUCUCACGAACUUUUCAAAAGAACGUCUCUUCUAUCUCAUUUUUUUUGCUCGAUCCGGGCCACAAUUCGUUGCUCACUCAUUCUCAUGAUGCUCGUUGGCUUCUCUUUAAGAAAGUUCAGCGGCUCUCGAAUAAUAUUUGUCAUCUUGAAUCCUUAUAUAACAGAGCCAUAGUCGUGUAGUCCUCCAUUAUCAUCCUUCUCUUAUCACGUGUUCUUGGACCAUAUUCGGACAACCAUAUUGUCAUUCACUUUAUCAAGAAACCCAUUUUCUUAUGACAAGCUCUCUAUUUAACAACUGAACGUGAAUCAACACCUCUUUUUCAUGAUGUAAUGAAAUGCCAUGUCAUGCAAUCAAAAUAAAACACAAAAGGUCAGUAACAUAUAUAAACAUAGAAAAUAAUCAAGAAAUAGUAAAACAUCUAUUCGGAUAUCUACCAGGUUUUAGUGCAGUUCUACCUAAGGUAAGCUCCUAGGGCUCAUUAUAUGCAGUUCGGUUCUAAAGUAAAGGUACCCGAACCAGCAGAUUCCUCAAUCCUCACCCAUUAUAGGCUCAUAUGGACCGAGUUCAGUUCAGGGGAAUACAUUUCCCUAUGGCUACACGGAGAUGAAAAUCUCACGAAGACGUAGGUACGGAUGUAUCCCGGAAACGGUCCACUACCCUGCACGGAGGUGAAAACCUCAUGAAGGACUAGUUUCUCGCUCCCACUUAAAGGGUAAAAUCAUUCAACCCAUGUAAUGUGCAGUGCAAACAGUACUUAAAUACAUUAAACAAAAAAUAAUGAAUGCAAAAGGCUUUUUAAAACAAGUUUCAUUUUUCGACUAUAAGACAAAAACUAACUUUGCGGCUCGACUCUCAAAAGUCCCCAGUGGAGUCGCCAAGCUGUCGAAACCAUUUUUUGAAAACAAAAAAUUUUAGGUUGUCGACUUUAAAAAAUGAAAAUUGAGAGUCGCCACCAAUCUUUUAUUAAGGUGUGGUUGGGUCACCUAAAAAUGACUUUGGUCUACGAAUUUUAGAAAAAUGGGUCCGGGAGUCGGUUACGUAUGAGGAAGGAUUAGCACCCUCAUAACGCCCAAAAAUUGGUACUUAGUUAAUUAAUUAAUGUCUUAAUAUCGAAAAUUUGAAAAAAUAUAAUCCUUAGCAAAAACUUAAAAAUGUUUCGUAUUAAGACCCUCAUCAUUUCGAGAAAGAAAAUGCCACACCCAAUGCGUUAGGGCACGACAUUCUAAUUUCUUCAAAAAUGAAUUAGGCCAGAAUACUCAUGUAAUAAAAAUUUAAAAGAAUAUCAAUUUAUUCAAGAUUUAAGAAAUCGCGGCCCAAUACGUUAGGGCACAAUUCCUCUAAAAUCUCAAACUCGGAAUAUUUCCUUUAUUAUUUUUUAGAAAAAAUCUUCAUUUCGAGAAAUCAAUGCGUCACAUCCAAUACGUUAGGACACAACGUGUUGAAUUCCCAAUAAUGAGUUCUUAUUUUUUUGAUUAAAGAGAAAUGCUCGAUUGUUAGAUUUAACGAAGAAAAUCAGAACCCAAUACGUUAGGGUUCAAUUUCCUUGAAAAUCCUAAAUACAAGCAUUAUCUCAAUUUUGAAAAGUUUGAAAUCGAGUAAAAAAAUGAUGUGAUGCUACAUUAAAUAUACAAUGCAAUAAUAAAUAUUACAAUGGCAUAAAAAUAAUAUAAACAAACAAAUAAAUAAAUAAAUCAAUAACAUGCAAAGCAUCAAAUAAAUGAGCAAAAUAAAAAAACAUGCUUUUAAAAUAUAAAUGAAAACAUAAAUUGAUAAACAAAAGAAGGAAAUAAACAAAAAAAUAUAAAGAGAAAAAAGGGUACAAAAUAUAUUUAUUGAAGUUAUGAGGAAGAAAAAACAAGCACAAGAUUUACAUGUGAAAUUUUGAAUUAUAAAAUUUAUAUAAAUAUAAUGCAUUUAUGAAAAUAAAGAAAAAUAUAAAAAAUAUAUAUAAAUUAAAAUAUGUGUUAAAAAUAUAUAUGUAUUUGAGCAUUUUUGGAAAAUGUGAAAACACUGAGGGGCAAUCGCGCAAAUUACCCAUUUAGGGUGAAAACGCGCGGACCCAACGUGCGGGUCGGGUUGACGCGCGGACCUACGCCAAACCGACUGGUGUUGUUUUGCCCUUAGGUUUUAAAACAGUUUUCUCCCUUUUAAAAAAAAUAUUCGCAGUAGAAAGGAAAAAAAACAAAAAAAAACAAAUGCUCUCUGCUAGAGUUUCUUCUUAACCCAUUUUGCGCUGCCGUUCGCCUAUGCCAACACUCUGAUCGCGACGGAGAUGGCAACCAUCCGACGAUUUCACCGAAAAAAGGUAAAAUCCCUUUCCUCCUUUCUUUUCUUCGUAUUUUUAAGCGGAAUAAGUAAAUAAAAAGAAAAAAACGAAACUACGAAUGAAGAAUACCAAAUAAAAAAAUAACCUUCUGUAUUAAAAUUUUUUUUAUCUCCCUCUAUUUGAACUCUCUGUGUUGCAAAAAUAAU